rnacentral:misc_RNA from 1 species
AACGCACAUUGCGCCCCCUGGCAUUCCGGGGGGCAUGCCUGUCCGAGCGUCAUUACAGCCCUCAAGCCCGGCUUGUGUAUUGGGCCGCCGUCCCUCCAUCUCCGGGGGGACGGGCCCGAAAGGCAGCGGCGGCACCGCGUCCGGUCCCCGAGCGUAUGGGGCUCUGUCACCCGCUCCGUGGGCCCGGCCGGCGCCAGCCUUGGCAGUCGCCUUCCAGACCAUGUUGACCUCGGAUCAGGUAGGGAUACCCGCUGAACUUAA